UAUGGCUUUAUAUCUCAAUUUUUUUUUUCUUCAAGACGACAGCACUUUAGUAUCUGCAUUGACCUCCAUGAUGUCAGAAUGUCAUUGUGCAAACGUAGCUAAGAAAAGCUGCUGAGAAAAAAAAAAAACAAAGGAGCUUUGCAUCUUCCAAUAACAUGAGAUGUGCAUAUACAUUGAACCAAGACUCUGUAGCUGAUACGCAAUGUCACUUACAACAUUAAUCAGAUACUGCAUUUAAGUCUUUUCAAGCUGCUUCCCAUCUGAAUUUUGACAACUGCUGCUAAAAAAUUAUCAAGAAGACCACGAACAGAACUUAUCUCCAUCGCUUUACAUAAAAAUGGCUGGUGCAUUGCCAUGUUAACACUGCUCUAAGUGGUACAUGCAGGCCGAUACACUGUAGCCACACACUUCACAAAAUUACUGAGAUGGUUUUGCUGAAAAUACCUGUCAAUACCACUUUUAAAAGACUCUAACAGAAGAACAACCUGAUUUUGGGUGGGUAAGUUUAUGGGGUGAUCUCACAUAGAAAUAGAGCUAAAUUAUUUAACACCAUCACCACUGCAUUACCUGGGUAUAUUUUCUGUUAAUUUCUAAUUU